rnacentral:lncRNA from 1 species
CGGAGUUUGAUAACUUGUUAACGUUGUAUGACGUCAUAUUGUUCGUAAGAUAUGCUUUUAUUUUCUUUUUGCCGAAUGUUCAAUUAUAGGGAUGGAAAAGGCAAGUAAGUUUAUGAACAACACGAGGCUCUCUCUCUUAUCUCUCUCAAAUAUUUUAGAGAGAGAGUGCUCAUUUAGUGUUUUGCCGGCGGUUCCUUUUUCCGGCAAUGUCUCCCGAAGUUCGGGCUUAUGACUCUGGCAAGAGAUGGCUUUUUAGCAUCUUCUUGGCCGGCUCUGACUCUGGCAAGAGGUGGCUCUCUUAGCACCUUCUUGGCCGGCUCCGUGCGACUAUCCGCUCAUCUCCGAUGUAGUUCGCUUUUUAGAUCCGAGUCUUUUCCAGUCUUGGUUUUUUAAAAGUUGCUUUUGCACUAGUUAGUUUCCUGUGACGAUCUUCCAUUGUUGAGCUUCAGUCUAGUGGAGUUUGGUGAUGGUUUUGUUUCGGUUGAGUCUCUCUAUUUGCUCGGCAAACUUGUGCUUGUCAUCGUCUUUCGUCGUCUUUGUUCCGUUAAAUCUUAAGCUUCCUGUUUCUGGUAAGCUUCCGGUGGAGUGCUCGAUUGGUCGGGCCGGCGGUGAAAUCAAGUCGGUGGAAUGAGGAUGUCUCUGCUUGUGAGCCACAUGUUUCCCUUUUGCUUCGCAAUGCAACACGUGGCUAUAUGCUGAUCAUGAGUUGUCCUCUUCACCUUAUAGGCUUUUGUUCGGCCUCAGUUGUUACCUUUCGUCUGGGUCUUGCUCUUUUGGCCCCAUAUGUAUUUGCAUUUGUUUACUGUUGGUUUUUAAUAAUAUAUAUACGAGAUGAAAAAAAAAAAAAAAGAUGGAAAAGGCAAGUCUCACAUGUGAAGGAGCAGUUUCCAAUGAAUGUCAUCUGUCAUUUAUCAAACAUCGACAUUUUAGGAUUUUAGUCAUGUGCUCCACUGGUAAGAAUCCAUUAAUGCUUUUCUUCAAGGAGAGCUGGAGGAUGAGGUUUACAUGAGGCCACCUCCGGGUAUGGAAGACAUGGUCAAGCCAGGGAAUGUCCUAAGGUUGAAGAAAGCAAUAUAUGGGUUAAAACAGUCACCAAGGGCUUGGUACCACAAACUGAGUACAACUCUCAAUGGAAGAGGGUUUGUAAAAUCAGAAGCUGAUCAUACACUCUUCACACUCACAAGCAAGCAAGGAAUUGUGGUGAUUCUUAUUUAUGUAGAUGAUAUUAUCAUCACAGGAAGUGACAAGGAAGGUAUUAUCUCAACCAAAGUAUUUCUUAAGUCUACUUUUGAUAUUAAAGAUUUGGGUGAGCUAAAGUACUUUCUAGGGAUAGAAAUAUGCCGCUCUAAAGAGGGGCUUUUCUUAUCUCAAAGGAAGUACACACUUGAUCUUUUGAAUGAGGCAGGAAAGCUUGGAGCGAGAGUAGCCAAGACUCCACUAGAAGAUGGGUAUAAGGUGUUGCGUGAGGGGGAGAUUGAAGAUAAGCCUUAUGCUGACGUUAAACACUAUAGAAGAAUGGUAGGAAAGCUGAUAUACCUCACCAUCACCAGGCCUGAUGUAUGCUUUGCAGUUAACCAAGUAAGCCAGAAUAUGCAAGCUCCCAAGAUACACCAUUGGAACAUGGUUGAAAGGAUCCUAAGAUACCUAAGAGAGGCGCCAGGGCAAGGAGUGUGGAUGGGAUGCAACAAAAAUACAGAGAUAGUUGGGUAUUGUGAUGCUGAUUGGGCAGGAGACAGAGUGGAUAGGAGAUCCACUACCGGUUAUUGUACAUUCAUUGGAGGCAAUCUUGUCACUUGGAAGAGCAAGAAACAGAAGAUAGUGUCAUGCUCAAGUGCUGAAGCUGAAUAUAGGGCAAUGAGGAAGCUCACUAGUGAGUUGAUUUGGAUCAGAAACCUACUUCAAGACUUUGGUAUAGAGACAUCAACUCCAAUCACCAUGCAUUGUGAUAAUCAAGCGGCAAUACACAUAGCCUCCAACAAUGUGUUCCAUGAGAGGACUAAACACAUUGAGGUGGAUUGUCAUAAAGUUAGGCAAGCAGUGGAACAAAGGAUCAUCUUACCCUGCUAUACAAGAAGUGAGGAUCAACUAGCUGAUAUCUUCACCAAGGCUGCAAGCACCAAGGUUUGCGAGUUCAUACAUUCCAAGUUAGGACUCGUAGAUUUUUCAUCACACUGAUCCUCUUAGUCAUGAAGUGUUCUACUCUUUUUCCUUGGCUUGGUUUUUAUCCCAUGAGGUUUUUCCAAGCUAAAGGUUUUAAUGAGGGAAUGCUUCAUGGUUUCCAAGCUUGACCAGUUCCUAUAGUCAAGCUUGAGGGGGAGUGUAAAAAUGAAGCAAUAAGAAACAAGAUGGUGGUUUAAGGUCUCAAGACAAUGGAGAUACCACUACAAGGGACAAACAUGCAUGGUUGGUUAAGGUCUCAAUACAAUGGAGAUACCACUACAAGGGACAAGCAUGCAUGGUGGGUUAAGGUCUCAAAACAAUGGAUUAUUAGUUUAUCAUAUCUCAUCUACCAUUUACCAUACUUGUAACCACUAUAUAUAUGAAAUGUUCUCAUAAGCAAAUCAAUCAAGUGAAUAAGAUUAUUCUUCUUUACUCUCUCUCUCUUUCUCUCUCUCUUGUUCUUCACUAUGUUCUUUAAUUUCUAACAUAGAUAACCUUAUGAACAUGAUUAAAACGUUAUUUCUGUUAAUGCGAGUUUAUGUACGUUUAAUUUUUGUCAAAAUGAGAUGAGCUUUUUGUAAUUCUGUAGAACCUUUUUUUUUUUGUAAAAUGGCAUUAUUUCUGUAGAACCUUUAAAAGUAAAUAAAAUACAUGUUUUUGUAAAAUUCUGUAGAACCUUUAAAAGUAAAAUACAUGUUUUUUUGUAAUUCUGUGGAUUUGUCCAAGUAGUUGAAAAUAUUUUCCACAACCUCGUAUCAUACCCGUAGAAUUGUUUUCUUGAUAAGUAGCUAAACCAUCAUAACAUACAUUUCGUUUUUUGAUCAAAGAAAUUAUAUCUGAUGUUAGAAAAAAAAUCACAGAAACUAUAUCUAGCUAGGAUUCCAUUAUCAAAUGCAUACUAAUGAUUAUUAAUCAAACACAAGCUAUGCUUUAUGAUCAAACAUAAUCAAACACAAGCUCUUCUUAGAAGUACAUAGAGAUAGAGAUCUGGUCGGAGUUUGAUAACUUGUUAACGUUGUAUGACGUCAUAUUGUUCGUAAGAUAUGCUUUUAUUUUCUUUUUGCCGAAUGUUCAAUUAUAGGGAUGGAAAAGGCAAGUAAGUUUAUGAACAACACGAGGCUCUCUCUCUUAUCUCUCUCAAAUAUUUUAGAGAGAGAGUGCUCAUUUAGUGUUUUGCCGGCGGUUCCUUUUUCCGGCAAUGUCUCCCGAAGUUCGGGCUUAUGACUCUGGCAAGAGAUGGCUUUUUAGCAUCUUCUUGGCCGGCUCUGACUCUGGCAAGAGGUGGCUCUCUUAGCACCUUCUUGGCCGGCUCCGUGCGACUAUCCGCUCAUCUCCGAUGUAGUUCGCUUUUUAGAUCCGAGUCUUUUCCAGUCUUGGUUUUUUAAAAGUUGCUUUUGCACUAGUUAGUUUCCUGUGACGAUCUUCCAUUGUUGAGCUUCAGUCUAGUGGAGUUUGGUGAUGGUUUUGUUUCGGUUGAGUCUCUCUAUUUGCUCGGCAAACUUGUGCUUGUCAUCGUCUUUCGUCGUCUUUGUUCCGUUAAAUCUUAAGCUUCCUGUUUCUGGUAAGCUUCCGGUGGAGUGCUCGAUUGGUCGGGCCGGCGGUGAAAUCAAGUCGGUGGAAUGAGGAUGUCUCUGCUUGUGAGCCACAUGUUUCCCUUUUGCUUCGCAAUGCAACACGUGGCUAUAUGCUGAUCAUGAGUUGUCCUCUUCACCUUAUAGGCUUUUGUUCGGCCUCAGUUGUUACCUUUCGUCUGGGUCUUGCUCUUUUGGCCCCAUAUGUAUUUGCAUUUGUUUACUGUUGGUUUUUAAUAAUAUAUAUACGAGAUGAAAAAAAAAAAAAAAGAUGGAAAAGGCAAGUCUCACAUGUGAAGGAGCAGUUUCCAAUGAAUGUCAU